AGUUCAUGUUGUGGACAAUUUCUCAGCAACCCCCUGUAUCUUUCCCAUGCUUUAUACAAGGAUUCUGCACCUUGUUGUUUAAAGUUGGCAAUGUUCUUAAAUUU